rnacentral:rRNA from 1 species
UACGAAGGGGGCUAGCGUUGUUCGGAAUUACUGGGCGUAAAGCGCGCGCAGGCGGUCUUCCAAGUCAGUGGUGAAAGCCCGGAGCUCAACUCCGGAACUGCCAUUGAAACUGUUAGACUUGAGGAUGAGAGAGGUGAGUGGAAUUCCCAGUGUAGAGGUGAAAUUCGUAGAUAUUGGGAAGAACACCGAUGGCGAAGGCAGCCCCCUGGGCUAACACUGACGCUCAUGCACGAAAGCGUAGGGAGCAAACAGG